AAGCCAGUCAGUGGAUCCGCUUACCUGAUCAUGUUUUUGUAGAAAUUUUGAACAAGCUGGUAAUAGUAAAUCUAUGUUAUGAACCUUAAUGACAGUGGGGUCAUUAAUGUGCCUGAAAGUGGCUAUACGA
rfam:Erinaceus europaeus unplaced genomic scaffold scaffold00477, whole genome shotgun sequence